GUCUACGGCCAUGCCACCCUGAACACGCCUGAUCCCGUCUGAUCUCGGAAGCUAAGCAGGGUCGGGCCUGGUUAGUAUUUGGAUGGGAGACCACCCGGGAAGUCCUGGUGCUGUCGGCG
rnacentral:rRNA from 1 species